CAGACUCCUACGGGAGGCAGCAGUGGGGAAUAUUGCACAAUGGGCGCAAGCCUGAUGCAGCCAUGCCGCGUGUGUGAAGAAGGCCUUCGGGGUUGUAAAGCACUUUCAGUCAGGAGGAAAGGUUAGUAGUUAAUACCUGCUAUCUGUGACGUUACUGACAGAAGAAGCACCGGCUAACUCCGUGCCAGCAGCCGCGGUAAUACGGAGGGUGCGAGCGUUAAUCGGAAUUACUGGGCGUAAAGCGUACGCAGGCGGUUUGUUAAGCGAGAUGUGAAAGCCCCGGGCUCAACCUGGGAACUGCAUUUCGAACUGGCAAACUAGAGUGUGAUAG
rnacentral:rRNA from 1 species